UCCGGUUUGUCACCGGCAGUCUCGCAUGAGUCCCCAACUAAAUGCUGGCAACAUGCGACGGGGGUUGCGCUCGUUGCGGGACUUAACCCAACAUCUCACGACACGAGCUGACGACAGCCAUGCACCACCUGUGCACUGGUCCCGAAGGAGGGCCGUAUUUCUACGGAUUUCCAGUGCAUGUCAAGCCCUGGUAAGGUUCUUCGCGUUGCAUCGAAUUAAACCACAUGCUCCGCUGCUUGAGCGGGGCCCCGUCAAUUCCUUUGAGUUUUAGCCUUGCGGCCGUACUCCCCAGGCGGGACACUUACUGCGUUAGCUUCGGCACGGAGGGGGUCGAUACCCCCCACACCUAGUGCCCAACGUUUACGGCAUGGACUAC
rnacentral:misc_RNA from 1 species